rnacentral:rRNA from 1 species
CCUACGGGAGGCAGCAGUGAGGAAUAUUGGUCAAUGGACGAGAGUCUGAACCAGCCAAGUAGCGUGAAGGAUGACUGCCCUCUGGGUUGUAAACUUCUUUUAUAUGGGAAUAAAUUGUUCCAUGUGAGGGAUUUUGUAUGUACCAUAUGAAUAAGGAUCGGCUAACUCCGUGCCAGCAGCCGCGGUAAUACGGAGGCUCCGAGCGUUAUCCGGAUUUAUUGGGUUUAAAGGGAGCGUAGGUGGAUUGUUAAGUCAGUUGUGAAAGUUUGCGGCUCAACCGUAAAAUUGCAGUUGAAACUGGCAGUCUUGAGUACAGUAGAGGUGGGCGGAAUUCGUGGUGUAGCGGUGAAAUGCUUAGAUAUCAAGAAGAACACCGAUUGCGAAGGCAGCUCGCUGGACUGCAACUGACACUGAGGCUCGAAAGUGUGGGUAUCAAACAGGAUUAGAUACCCCAGUAGUC